GAUGAAGAACGUAGCGAAAUGCGAUAAGUAAUGUGAAUUGCAGAAUUCAGUGAAUCAUCGAAUCUUUGAACGCACAUUGCGCCCGCCAGUAUUCUGGCGGGCAUGCCUGUUCGAGCGUCAUUUCAACCAUCAAGCCCCAGGCUUGUGUUGGGGACCUGCGGCUGCCGCAGGCCCUGAAAACCAGUGGCGGGCUCGCUGUCACACCGGGCGUAGUAGAUUUUAUCUCGCUCAGGGCGUGCUGCGGGUUCCGGCCGUUAAAAAGCCUUUUUUACCCAAGGUUGACCUCGGAUCAGGUAGGAAUAUCCGCUGAACUUAAGCAUAUCAAUAAGCGGAGGA
rnacentral:misc_RNA from 1 species